rnacentral:rRNA from 1 species
UACGAAGGGGGCUAGCGUUGUUCGGAAUUACUGGGCGUAAAGCGCGCGUAGGCGGAUCUGCAAGUCGGGGGUGAAAUCCCGAGGCUCAACCUCGGAACUGCCUUCGAUACUGCGGGUCUCGAGUCCGGGAGAGGUGAGUGGAAUUCCGUAGUGUAGAGGUGAAAUUCGUAGAUAUUAGGAAGAACACCAGUGGCGAAGGCGGCUACCUGGACCAGCACUGACACUGAGGCACGAAAGCGUGGGAGCAAACAGGGAAUUAGAUG